GGGGACCCGCAAGCGGUGGAUGAUGUGGAUUAAUUCGAUGCAACGCGAAAAGCCUUACCUACCCUUGACAUGUACGGAAGCCUGAAGAGAUUCGGGUGUGCUCGAAAGAGAGCCGUAACACAGGUGCUGCAUGGCUGUCGUCAGCUCGUGUCGUGAGAUGUUGGGUUAAGUCCCGCAACGAGCGCAACCCUUGUCAUUAGUUGCUACGAAAGGGCACUCUAAUGAGACUGCCGGUGACAAACCGGAGGAAGGUGGGGAUGACGUCAAGUCCUCAUGGCCCUUAUGGGUAGGGCUUCACACGUCAUACAAUGGUACAUACAGAGGGCCGCCAACCCGCGAGGGGGAGCUAAUCCCAGAAAGUGUAUCGUAGUCCGGAUCGCAGUCUGCAACUCGACUGCGUGAAGUUGGAAUCGCUAGUAAUCGCGGAUCAGCAUGUCGCGGUGAAUACGUUCCCGGGUCUUGUACACACC
rnacentral:rRNA from 1 species